AGCGAACGCUGGCGGCAGGCCUAACACAUGCAAGUCGAACGAACUCUUCGGAGUUAGUGGCGGACGGGUGAGUAACACGUGGGAACGUGCCUUUAGGUUCGGAAUAACUCAGGGAAACUUGUGCUAAUACCGAAUGUGCCCUUCGGGGGAAAGAUUUAUCGCCUUUAGAGCGGCCCGCGUCUGAUUAGCUAGUUGGUGAGGUAAAGGCUCACCAAGGCGACGAUCAGUAGCUGGUCUGAGAGGAUGAUCAGCCACAUUGGGACUGAGACACGGCCCAAACUCCUACGAGAGGCAGCAGUGGGGAAUCUUGCGCAAUGGGCGAAAGCCUGACGCAGCCAUGCCGCGUGAAUGAUGAAGGUCUUAGGAUUGUAAAAUUCUUUCACCGGGGACGAUAAUGACGGUACCCGGAGAAGAAGCCCCGGCUAACUUCGUG
rnacentral:rRNA from 1 species